GGUUCGAUGGUGUAGUUGGUUAUCACGUCAGUCUAACAAUCACGUUGGAUCACUGAAGGUCUCCAGUUCAAGUCUGGGUCGAAUCA